rnacentral:rRNA from 1 species
AUGGCCAAUGAAGAGUUCCUUCCUUUAGUUAGUGAGAUUUGGCAGAGGCCGGUUAGAUCUUCGGAUCCUAUUGAUGUUCUUAAUAUCAAAUUAAAACGUUUUAUUUUUUUUAAAGGUUGGGGUUCGGAUAAAUUUGGUCAUGUUAAGAAAAGGAAGAAAGGGAUCAAGGAUGAGCUUGCUUUCAUAGAGUCUAUGGAAGAACAAGGCCCUCUUGACCCUGAUACCAUAGACAAAAGAGCUACCCUUAGUGGUGAACUUCAGCAACUUAUGGUGAAUGAGGAAAUAUAUUGGCUUCAACAAUCCCAUGAAACAUGGCUGUUGAAAGGCGACCGAAACACCGCUUUCUACCAUAGGAUUGCCAAUGGGAAGCGUAAAAACACCAUUCACUCCUUUUCUUGUGGUGACACCACUAUUGAGGGGACUGAUAACUUACUUAAACACGCCACAGAUUUUUAUAAAGAGCUUUCUGGCCCAGCCCCAGGGAAUCUUUUUCAUUUAGAUCCUAAUACUUGGGGGGAUAAUGAGAAACUUACAGCCGAGGAUAAUGAAUUCCUGACCAGACCUUUUAGUGAGGAAGAAGUUAAGAAAGCUCUUUUCUCUAUGGAUAGGAAUAGAGCUCCUGGGCCAGAUAACAUACCAGCAGAAUUCUACAGAUUCUGUUGGGAUGUAGUUAAAGAGGAUAUCAUGAACCUUUUUAAGGCUUUUCAUGAGGGGACUCUGGAUGUGGAAAGACUGAAUUAUGGGACUAUUACCCUGAUUCCUAAAGUAAAUGGGGCAAAAAAAUCCAGGAGUUCUGACCCAUUUGUCUUUUGA